CGGGCAGCGCGGCGGGCCGUUACCGGCGGGGACGCGGCCGCGUGAGCGGGUACGCUGCUGGCGGAGCAGGGGCCGAGAGCAGGUGGCGCAGUGCGAGGCCGCGCUGGCGUCUCCUACGCGGUGCCCCGGCUGUGGGCACGCGUGGGGCGGCGCGCCGCGGCCAGCCGCCCGGCCGAGGUGCUGCGGGCCUCACACGGUGGGAAGCCCCGGCGCUGAGAGACGCGGGCGCGGGUGGUGUGGGAGGAGGGAUCUCCCCUGCGUCCGCCCCGUUUCUGCGCAGCUCUACUAGGCUGCAGGGGUUUGGGCUCCGUCCUUAGAUUGGGGCUGCAACAGCAUCACAUCCCUGCAAAGAAGCACACCAAAACCCAACCCGGCCUCACAGCACCUCUCUUCUCUAUCCCCAGCUGUCAAUAUUUGCAAGUGUCUUGUCUGACAAAUGUCUGACAGCCUUUCUGUAUUGAAGAAGGAAUAAAAGGAAGAGGUUACAGCUGACAGUGUUCCACUGACAAGCAAUACUGACUAAAGCCAAAAGAUAGGAACAACAGUGCAGAACUGAGGUAAUGAAAUAGCUGACUGCUCACCCUCAGAAAUAACACAGACCUGAAUACUACAAACAGGUGGGAGUUGUGCUCUUUAUGGUGUUUCCUAUCAGACGAGGACAUAGAUGUCUACCAGAAGACUUCCCAAAGUGCUUAUAGUUCCUACAAGCUCUGUUCCAAUGCUGUUCCAGGACUCUGGCCAUGUCGGUACUCAGCAGGCUUGAGAUUCAGAGGGCACAGCCAUCUGUUUUUUCCCAUCUACAGGUAUCCCACCAGGAGGUCCAACCCAACACUUCUUUCAGAGUGGGAAAACAUCAUACUUCAUGCGAGCCAAAUAUGUGAACAAGAUGAAAGGCAGAGACAGAUGGAGCCAUCUCUGGGAUAUCUAAACAAAAUACUUGGGACAUCAUGAAACAUUAAAGCAUUUUUAUUAGCAUGAGAGGUUGAACUGAAAGAACAAAACUGAUGCAACAGUUACUCAUGUAAAUUUAGAGCCUUAACUUCUUUGCUCUUGACCUGUCAUUACUGCAUGCAAAAUGUCAUGCAGGACUUUUAGAAGCUAAUGAAUCUAGGCUUCCUAACUGCUCGACAUCAAGGACUAUAUUUAUAAGCCUUGUGCUGUUUACAUAUGCAUAGACUGAAUUAUUUUGAUCAUGGUCUCUUUCACUCUUAUCGCUAUUAUCAUAUGGAAGAAACAACUGGUGUGCAUCUUCAUGUUUCCCCAAACAGCAAAGGGAGGCAUACAAGCAGUUUUAUGUCUAAAAGCCUGUAGAUCUUACCCGAUUUUAGUGGAAAAUGCAUAUUGCUUCAGAUGUUUCAAAGUUAUCAUGUGAAACACAAACAAAAAAUGACAAUGGCAGCCCAGAAAAGCAAUGCAGCUUAGCCAUAACUGUGCAUGUUUUGAGCAUUGCCCACAACAAACCUCAGACUAAUGCCACCAAGUCUAAAGCUAAAUUUUUGUAGCUCUGCGCCUACACUUUAAGCUAUGAGGUAGCAUGUGAGAAAUGUGAAACUGAGGAAGCUGUUGUUUUCUCCCUUGUGAGGCAAUCUGCCUAACACCUCAGUGCUGCUGAUAGGAAUGAUUCAUGCUAGGUUUCUUGUGCUUAUUUUUUGUUUUGAGAAGAUUUCCCUUGCUGUUUGUCAUCUUCAUCUUCUCUCUUCCCAUAGCUGAUUACUUUUAUAGGUCAAAAUGUUAAGGCAAGGAACUGUAAAACACGUGCAUGUAGAAACUAAAAUCACUUUUGAAAAUGGCUGUUGUCACUCCGGGGAGAUGAGAUUGCUAUGUGAAUCCUUUCACUAUGUUUCCUUCCAGCCUCUUUCUAGAAUUCGCUUGAUCUCGUGUAGUGGAGUCCUUAGGAGAGGACGAACUUGUUGUUAAAGCAACAGCUAUGAACAGAUCAAUGUGGGUUUUG
ensembl:lncRNA